rnacentral:sRNA from 1 species
CGGCGGCGCAGUAUUCUAGUCAGAUCUGCCGUUUCCUAGGGAGGGCCUAAAAAUCCUCUGAAGGGCAUACCGAUGAAACCCGUGGUGCCUGCUUGAUACGCCCAGUUUCGGGUGGGUGCUGGGGGGAAGCGUGCGGCGCACGCUUGCGGACUCAGGGCGCUUUCCAAUGGCAUGGUUAUCCCGACCCUGUUUCCGUGGAGACCUGUUCUUGUGCACAGACGUACUCCCGCAGUGGUAUUUCCGGCCUGUGUACGAAACAGAAUAUGAACCUGCAAUGCGGUGCAUCGGCCCUCUUAGGGGCCGUAACGCUGUGUGCAGAUGUAGCCUGCCUUGCGUGGGGCAGGUGGAUGGGGGAACAACGCGGUGUUUCGCUCUGGCCAGAGCAGCCGGCCGCGAUCGCCCCCUGAAACCUGGUCUGCAAAAGAGGCUAAAGAAACGGACAGACUGUGGUGGAAAUCACCUAGGCUGUCAUCCCGGGCGAAAAAAGGAUUGCAGUGCGGACUAAGUGGCAGUCGGGUCGCAUGGCCGGCGACGCCGUGCCGCGGCGCUGAAAGGGGAACCGCCUCCAUCGGCAACGAGAGGUGUGCCGCGGGGAAAUCCAACCCGUACCUAAGCCGUAAGAUUUACUUUUUUCGCCGCCGU